rnacentral:rRNA from 1 species
UACGUAGGGGGCAAGCGUUGUCCGGAUUUACUGGGCGUAAAGCGCACGUAGGCGGAUCGUUAAGUCAGGGGUGAAAUCCCGGAGCUCAACUCCGGAACUGCCUUUGAUACUGGCAAUCUAGAGUCCGGAAGAGGUGAGUGGAACUCCUAGUGUAGAGGUGGAAUUCGUAGAUAUUAGGAAGAACACCAGUGGCGAAGGCGGCUCACUGGUCCGGUACUGACGCUGAGGUGCGAAAGCGUGGGGAGCAAACAGG